CUUGCUGAAUAAAUAGCAUAGCAUCUGGAAAUGAUGCUGUGAAACUUCAGAGGCUAAGCCUUAAGGAGUUUGCAGCUUCCACAUUCUUCCAUUAUGGAACACUCCAUUUUGAACCCAGACAACAUUCCAGGAGGAAUGACACUCGGGCAACCACAUGGAGAAGUCUACAUGGGCAAGAACCAAGACCCAGGUCAGCAUACUCAGCUGCGCUCCCAGCCAGCUGCCUAUCACUAAUUUUCUGGCUAUGUGAAUGUGACUACAAUGGACCUUCUAGCCAUCCGCCCCAGUGGAUUUCAACUGUCUACUCAACUCUCAGAGAACAAAAUAUAUUUAUAUCCAUGAAAUCCAAUGAGUUGUUGCAGCAGAUGACUCACAGCCAAAGAUCCACAAUAAGUCAUCCAGAUCUUUUUCACUGACUGUUUCAUCAAGAGAAAUACCAAGCUGCAGAAAUGAAAAUUAAAGGGAAAACAUCAGUCCUAAACUCCAAGACCAGUGGAGAAACCCCAAGAGAGGUCAAAGGGAAGAAAGUGCUAGAUAAAACUCUCAGUUGUUUCAAACUAUCAGGGUGCCAUUAUACCCAAGUUGGCCCGUAGGUGAAGUUGACUAGACGAGUUUAGUUUAGUUUAGUUUAGUUUAGUUUAGGUUUUAUGAACCAUUUCUGGACCCCAGCAGUCUCAUGCCUGCAGGUCACCCCUACUGAUGCUAGAUAGACUUAUCCUUUUCUUCCUUUAACUUACUUCAUUAAGGUGCUUAUCACACCAUACUGGGUAUGACACCAUACUUCAACAGUCAUACUAGGAAGAGUAUUAUGAGCAAAAUAUGUGCCUAGGAGUAUCAUACAUGAAAACAUAAAGUCUUAAGGAAAGCUAAGAAUGAAUUAUCCUUUGAAGGUCACAAUGUUCAAAGUUGGAAAACAAAAUUGUUUGUAAGACGUAGAUUGUGCCUAAAAUUUAAAUAUUGGGUUUUUAAAUAAAGAAGAAAAUUUUUAGUGAGUAAAGUUAUGAAAUCUUAGAGAAUAUAUAAAGAAAUGGAAAAGUUUUACUUACCAUGCCA